AUAGCCCAAGCUUAAUUGUGGAGUGUUUUGGAGUCUUUCCUUCUAUUUAUGGUCAAUACACAUGAAGGUGUCUCUUUGUUAUCAAACCAGGAGAAAAUGUCACAUGCAUAGACCUCAAUCUGCAGUUGGAGUGGUUCAAAACCAGAGGCUUGAAAUUAAUUAUUGAUUUGUGAGCAUUCAACAUUUUCCUCCCGUUGAAUGAUGAGAGUUUCCUUCAGGUAUAUCCAGUAAGCAUUAUAGUCAUCAUGAUGAGAGUUUCCUUCAGGUAUAUCCAGUAAGCAUUAUAGUCAUCAUGAUGAGAGUUUCCUUCAGGUAUAUCCAGUAAGCAUUAUAGUCAUCAUGAUGAGAGUUUCCUUCAGGUAUAUCCAGUAAGCAUUAUAGUCAUCAUGAUGAGAGUUUCCUUCAGGUAUAUCCAGUAAGCAUUAUAGUCAUCAUGAUGAGAGUUUCCUUCAGGUAUAUCCAGUAAGCAUUAUAGUCAUCAUGAUGAGAGUUUCCUUCAGGUAUAUCCAGUAAGCAUUAUAGUCAUCAUGAUGAGAGUUUCCUUCAGGUAUAUCCAGUAAGCAUUAUAGUCAUCAUGAUGAGAGUUUCCUUCAGGUAUAUCCAGUAAGCAUUAUAGUCAUCAUGAUGAGAGUUUCCUUCAGGUAUAUCCAGUAAGCAUUAUAGUCAUCAUGAUGAGAGUUUCCUUCAGGUAUAUCCAGUAAGCAUUAUAGUCAUCAUGAUGAGAGUUUCCUUCAGGUAUAUCCAGUAAGCAUUAUAGUCAUCAUGAUGAGAGUUUCCUUCAGGUAUAUCCAGUAAGCAGUGUAGUCAUCAAAUAAAGCUCUAUUGACCUGCAUUUGUAAUAAUUCUCCAAUAUCACCCCUCUCUGUCAAUUGCAGGACUGUGAGGAACGUGAGGGAAUCAGGUUAGACUGAUUCACGUCUAGGCUUCAGAGACAGCCAUUCCUGCUACUUCACUGUUUGUCUUAUGAUUGUUAAUAGCCAGUCAAUCAUCCUGUUAUCUUAGACAGUCAACCAUUGAAAUGUGUUGGGUUCCCUAGAGGGAUGAUGCACUAGUCUGGUGCUGACAGACUCCUAUACCUCAGACACAGACUGGCAGCAGGUUCUGCUGGGGAGAGAGAGCAGGGAGAGGACGCCAUGUAUCUCAGCUAAAUGAACCCGUCAUAAUGUCACACACCAACCAUGCCAUGCUAAAGAGUCUGGACAACAUUGACUACUGUGAAACAAUGAAACCAAACGUUUUCCACAAUGAUGGAGUCCCUUCCCCUCCCCUUCCCCACCCUAUACUGUACC